CCAAAACGCUGUCUCUCUCUCUCCUUGUUACCACUGCCAUUUAUGGAAAAGUUUCAGGCUAAAAGAGCUUUCCCAGGCUUGACAUGGCCAGAACGACGAAGGCAUCAAAUGUUUCAACUCGUUUUCACAUAACACUGCCCAAACAUGGUAUUAUUUCUCCAUUUCCUUCAUCUUUUUACAAUUUCAACGGCAAUACUCUGCAAUUCCUUAAUUGUUUUUGGUUGUUUGUUAUUUUGAACUCUUGAUUUUCAUUGGUUUGUGAGGAACCAAGGGGAUUGACUCCACUUCAUUUAAAUCUGACCCUUUACCUAUUGAUUUACUCGAAUCUUGACCGUUAAUGCUCAAAAUGAGGCUUGAUUCUCAAAAUUUUGGGUUUGUCCCACAUCGGUUUGAGUCUAGGGUUUGUAAAUUUUGGGGUUCUAUUUGAAAUUUUAGGGUUCUAUAAAUAGAACCCCCAAAUUUACAUUUUACAGACACAGAAUAACAGUUGCAUAUUCAUACAAAAUCGAAAUACUUAAUUUUUGGCAUCUUUGUUUUAAAACUUUAACAGUUCGAGUUAAGUUAAAAAUUUUAAUCUUUUUUUUUCUAUUCUUGUGUGGGUUUUGUGUGUCUUUGAGCAUUUGGGGAACAAAUCGAGGUGUCCAAGUUCAAAUCUCUUCACGGCUGCACACAAAAGAGUCCAGACAGGCUGCUAUGUCUACUUGAUGUUUGUUUUUGGGCUUGAAUAAAUUCUCCAAGUGUUUGUUGCUACACUAUGUGCCAACUUAGUCUAUGUGUGCAAAUUAUUUAGGCUUCAAAUCCUUAAACACAUACUAAUCUUAUCCUUUUGCUUGGUGUGUUUGGUGUGCUUCAAUCCAGACAGGCUGCUAUGUCUACUUGAUGUUUGUUUUUGGGCUUGAAUAAAUUCUCCAAGUGUUUGUUGUUACACUAUGUGCCAACUUAGUCUAUGUGUGCAAAUUAUUUAGGCUUCAAAUCCUUAAACACAUACUAAUCUUAUCCUUUUGCUGCUGUAUGUGAAACUCACAUGGGCCACUAUAUCUGUUGGGCUGGAGGCCCAACUCUCUUCAUCAAUCGACUCUGUUAUAAAAAAAAUGAAAGGGAAGCAAAUAUUAGCAUUUAAAGACCCAACCAUGAUAGAAAAUGGUGAAGGCCCAGCUAUGGGUUAAAAAUGCUAACUGGUGGGCUUAGGUAGGCCCACCAGCCUAAACUCUUCCUUUAUAUUCAUUUUUGUGGAAAAUUAUAUUUUGGAAAACACGCUUGUGAAUUAUUAGAACCCUCA